rnacentral:rRNA from 1 species
UACGUAGGGGCCAAGCGUUGUCCGGAUUUAUUGGGCGUAAAGAGCUCGUAGGCGGUUCAGCAAGUCGGGUGUGAAAAUCUGGCUCAACCCAGAGACGCCACCCGAUACUGCUGUGACUAGAGUCCGGUAGGGGAGUGGGGAAUUCCUGGUGUAGCGGUGAAAUGCGCAGAUAUCAGGAGGAACACCGAUGGCGAAGGCAGCUCGCUGGGACGGUACUGACGCUGAGGCGCGAAAGCGUGGGGAGCAAACGGG